rnacentral:rRNA from 1 species
UACGUAGGGGGGCAAGCGUUGUCCGGAAUUACUGGGCGUAAAGCGUGCGUAGGCGGUUCGUUAAGUCUGUUGUGAAAGCCCCGGGCUCAACCUGGGAAUGGCAAUGGAUACUGGCGAGCUAGAGUGUGUCAGAGGAUGGUGGAAUUCCCGGUGUAGCGGUGAAAUGCGUAGAGAUCGGGAGGAACAUCAGUGGCGAAGGCGGCCAUCUGGGACAACACUGACGCUGAGGCACGAAAGCGUGGGGAGCAAACAGG